AGUGAACGCUGGCGGUAGGCCUAACACAUGCAAGUCGAACGGCAGCACAGUAAGAGCUUGCUCUUACGGGUGGCGAGUGGCGGACGGGUGAGGAAUACAUCGGAAUCUACUUUUUCGUGGGGGAUAACGUAGGGAAACUUACGCUAAUACCGCAUACGACCUACGGGUGAAAGCAUGGGAUCUUCGGACCUUGCGCGAUUGAAUGAGCCGAUGUCGGAUUAGCUAGUUGGCGGGGUAAAGGCCCACCAAGGCGACGAUCCGUAGCUGGUCUGAGAGGAUGAUCAGCGACACUGGAACUGAGACACGGUCAAGACUCCUACGGGAGGCAGCAGUGGGGAAUAUUGGACAAUGGGCGCAAGCCUGAUCCAGCCAUACCGCGUGGGUGAAGAAGGCCUUCGGGUUGUAAAGACCUUUUGUUGGGAAAGAAAAGCAGCAGGUUAAUACCCCGCUGUUCUGACGGUACCCAAAGAAUAAGCACCGGCUAACUUCGUG
rnacentral:rRNA from 1 species